rnacentral:rRNA from 1 species
AAGCGCUUGCAAUCAGACUUGCACUUGGUGUUCAUCAGGGUCUCGUACCCUGUGUACUUCAUCAAGUUCAGGCCAGCAUCAGUUUGAGUGGUUAGAUAAAGGCUUAGAGAAUGUGGCCCUCUUCGGGGGGUGUUAUAGCCUAUUGUAUAAUACCCUUAUGGGGACCGAGGUACGCGCUCUGCAAGGAUGCUGGCGUAAUGGUCAUCAACGA